rnacentral:rRNA from 1 species
GACGAACGCUGGCGGCGUGCUUAACACAUGCAAGUCGAACGGAAAGGGCCUGCUUUUGUGGGGUGCUCGAGUGGCGAACGGGUGAGUAACACGUGAGUAACCUGCCCUCGACUUUGGGAUAACUUCAGGAAACUGGGGCUAAUACCGGAUAGGAGCUCCUGCUGCAUGGUGGGGGUUGGAAAGUUUCGGCGGUUGGGGAUGGACUCGCGGCUUAUCAGCUUGUUGGUGGGGUAGUGGCUUACCAAGGCUUUGACGGGUAGCCGGCCUGAGAGGGUGACCGGCCACAUUGGGACUGAGAUACGGCCCAGACUCCUACGGGAGGCAGCAGUGGGGAAUAUUGCACAAUGGGCGGAAGCCUGAUGCAGCAACGCCGCGUGCGGGAUGACGGCCUUCGGGUUGUAAACCGCUUUCGCCUGUGACGAAGCGUGAGUGACGGUAAUGGGUAAAGAAGCACCGGCUAACUACGUG